AUUGAACGCUGGCGGCAGGCCUAACACAUGCAAGUCGAGCGAGAGGCGGGCGGGUGAGUAAUGUAUGGGGACUGCCCGAUAGAGGGGGAUAAAAACUGGAAACGGUGGCUAAUACCGCGUACUGUCUGAUAACCCAGAUGGGAUUAGCUAGUAGGUAAGGUAAUGGCUUACCUAGGCGACGAUCCCUAGCUGGUCUGAGAGGAUGAUCAGCCACACUGGGACUGAGACACGGCCCAGACUCCUACGGAGGCAGCAGUGGGGAAUAUUGCACAAUGGGCGCAAGCCUGAUGCAGCCAUGCCGCGUGUAUGAAGAAGGCCCUAGGGUUGUAAAGUACUUUCAGUCGGGAGGCGUUACCGACAGAAGAAGCACCGGCUAACUCCGUGCCAGCAGCCGCGGUAAUAC
rnacentral:rRNA from 1 species